CGUGGCGACGCGGAAUCUGAAGGAAGCUGGCGGCAAAUACUCGGCCUUACGAACAGGAACUGCAUACAAGGCUGCAGAUGGAGGACAAGGCUGCCAAACAAGCCGAAGUCCUAUAACUAUCCGAAUCCAUGUGAAGUAAAUGCAGAGGGCACAUGAGUUGAAAGCG
rnacentral:ncRNA from 1 species